rnacentral:rRNA from 1 species
AGCAGUGGGGAAUAUUGCACAAUGGGCGAAAGCCUGAUGCAGCGACGCCGCCUGAGGGAUGACGGCCUUCGGGUUGUAAACCUCUUUCAGCAGGGAAGAAGCGAAAGUGACGGUACCUGCAGAAGAAGCGCCGGCUAACUACGUGCCAGCAGCCGCGGUAAUACGUAGGGCGCAAGCGUUGUCCGGAAUUAUUGGGCGUAAAGAGCUCGUAGGCGGCUUGUCACGUCGAUUGUGAAAGCCCGAGGCUUAACCUCGGGUCUGCAGUCGAUACGGGCUAGCUAGAGUGUGGUAGGGGAGAUCGGAAUUCCUGGUGUAGCGGUGAAAUGCGCAGAUAUCAGGAGGAACACCGGUGGCGAAGGCGGAUCUCUGGGCCAUUACUGACGCUGAGGAGCGAAAGCGUGGGGAGCGAACAGGAUUAGAUACCCUGGUAGUCCACGCCGUAAACGGUGGGAACUAGGUGUUGGCGACAUUCCACGUCGUCGGUGCCGCAGCUAACGCAUUAAGUUCCCCGCCUGGGGAGUACGGCCGCAAGGCUAAAACUCAAAGGAAUUGACGGGGGCCCGCACAAGCGGCGGAGCAUGUGGCUUAAUUCGACGCAACGCGAAGAACCUUACCAAGGCUUGACAUACACCGGAAACGUCUGGAGACAGGCGCC